rnacentral:lncRNA from 1 species
GGUGAGCGCCUUAGUGGUGCUUAGUUGCUCCUCUAGGAUCUGUUUGAGGAAUUGAAGACCAUUGGCUUUUGAGAAGUAGGUAGUGAUGGUUGGGUAGAUAGGAUGGUAACUGGCUGAAAAUCUUGGAAUCUUGCUCUCCAAAAGUGCAGUGCAGACUGAGGGCCAUGGCUUGAGAUUUCGAUGUCGGAAAUGGAGAUGGUGAGAUUGUGGUGAGGCAUCUCCAGCUUGGGGCCUCUGGGUAUCGUAGGAAUUGCUAUGAUCCCGUUUGAGGUCUGUGGCUAGUGUCAGGCCUUUCUCAGGACCAGGGGCAGAAAGAUAGCUCCUGCCUUAUGUCUGUAAUGAGAGCUGUUAGGAGAGGUAUCCAUUCUUGCUUCUUGGUUCAUUUGUUCAGAAGGAAGGUGUUUUUCUGGGGCAGAUAGUAGGUUGAGUGCUUUGUAGGUAGUGAUGCCCUGGGUCUUGGCUGCAUUCUUAAAAGGAGCAGGUGUUGCCAUGGCAAGAAGACCUCUUGCUGGCUUCCUGACAGAGAUGUGCCAGCUUGCUCUACAAAGCUCUGGGCUGUGACAUACCAGUUUUUCCUACCCUGGAUCUUGGCAGCCAGUAGAAUGAAAUGUCUGAUGGCAGGAGCCGGGGGUGCUUGGCAGCUCCAAAGGGCUCACCCAAGGGCUUGCAAGUGGGCCAGGUAAGGGUUUGUUCUGAGAGAAGAGCUGAGACCCUUGGGCUCCGAUUCUCACUUGGUCAGCAUCUCUGUGACAGGGAUUAGUCACAUGGAUGUUCUAGCUACACAUUUGCUAUUCAAAGUGUGGUCUGAGAACCAGCAGCACCCCGUCCCCCGGGAGCGCGUUCGACAUGCAGACCCUCAGGCCCUUUCCAGCGCGAAUUAGAGUCUGUAAUUUGACCAGAUCUUCAGGUGAUUUGAAGUCUGAGAAACACCGCUCUACUCUAGACCAGUGAGUCUCAAUCUUCAGCGAGUACCAGAAUCACCUGGAAGGCUUGUUAAACCACAGACCGCUGGUCCCACCCUCAGGGUUUCUGGCUCAGAAAGCCUGGGGUAAAGGCCAGGAAUUUGCAUUUCUCAUAUGUUCCUGGGUGACGGAAUCCUGCCUGUAAGGGACCACGCUUUAAAGCACUGGCUGCCUUAGCCGGGUCUAUAAAAUAGGGCUGUGAUACCUAUCUGCCUCCAGAGAUGCCGGUUCAGAUGAGCCGGUGUGUGAGAGAGGUGUGCAGGGCACUGUGGGCAGGAUGUUGGUUUGUGUGUUGCUUGCCGUGAUUUUGAAAAUCUGCCGUCAUGCCAGCACAACUCUUUCCCUGUCCUGGAUUCUGGCUGUCAGAUUCAGGAAGAGAACAGGGAAGCUGUGAAGACACCAGGAGCCCCUGGGCCUGGGGCUGGGGAUUACUGAGUGGGCUUCCUGAAGCUCAGCCAGCCUCUGGGCCUCUGUCCAAGGUGCCUGAUCAGAACCUGCUGUCUGCCUGAGUGAGCCUGGUCUGUCUGCAUCACCUGUCAUGCCUUGCUAGUGGGUCUUCACUUAUUUGUACUUAUUGGAAAAAUGAUCCUUGUCAAGCCCAGCCUCUGAUUUAUCUUUUGAUCCUGAGUAUGUUCCAUCUCUUUCCUCACCCCACUGGGUGAUUAACUGGUCCCAGAAUGUGGCCUCUCAGUCUCCAAAGUGAGGGGAAUUGAGGCAGAGUCUGUUCUGGUGAGAAGCAAUAUUGCAAAGUGGCUCAGAGCACGGACUCCAGAACUGGACCCUCUGGAUUUUGAUCUGGUCUCCACCACCUGCUAGCAGUGUGAUUUACCUUGAGCAAGUUCCCUGUACUCUUUAUGCCUUAGUUGCCUUAUUGGCAGAACGGGGUUAAUAGUGGUACCAAUCUUACAGGACUGUUGGGAGGAUAAAAUGCAAGAGCUUAGAACAGUGCCUGGCAUGUCAUAGCUGUGUGUGUCAGGUCUUGUUAGUAGAAUUACUGCUAGUAUUAUUUUGACUCACGGCCUCUUAGAAAGCUGUUGAGAUACAGCAGGUGGCUGGGAGGCAGGCCCUGCCUCUCUGGGGAGCAUAAAGAGAGCCUGCAGGCCCUCUGUCAACAUGUAGACAGAGCCACAGAGCUAUCCAAAGGGAUUUUUUCCCCCACUAGAAUGGUUAAGUUGGGCUUGGCGCCCUUCCACUUGCAUGCCUUCCUGUAGUGCUGCCUCUGGGGGACCUCUCCUGCACACAACCUGAGAUUUGUUUAAAUUAAUUCCAUGGCAAAUACGUGUAUACAGGUAGCUACAGAGAAACCAUUUGGUUGUUUGCUGCCCUGAAGGGUCAGCUUCACUGAGGCCACUAAUACCAGAAGUUAUUUACAAUUGAGUAUCUAAAAAUGUCUGAACUGAGGCUGAUUUGGAGUCGUGUGUGUAGAGGUGGACAAAGACCCAUAUACCCCUGGGUGAGGAUGCCGUUUCUAAGACUUUCGGUCUCCUUCAGUGAUUGGUAGUGUGUAUAUAUAUUUUUUUAAAUUCAGAUUCCAGUAAAAGUAAAUUAUAAUACACUCCCCCUUUCAAAAAAAGAAUAGCAGUGUCUAUUUUCAGCUUCUUUUCUAUAUUUUAAUUGCUUUGGGGUCUGUGGAAAUGGAUGAAGAGGGACAUGUAGGGGAAAUAUCAGCCUUUUAAAGCUCUAAUUUUUUACCCUUCCUUGUCCUGAAACUUUGAGCAUAAGCUCUCAUCUAUCAAAGUGUAAAUCAGCAAUUAAAACCCAAACAGCCAAAUGCCAAAGAUGACCCAAAGCGCAAAGCAACUGACAAGUCCGGACAAAUCGACGGGUAAUUUAUAAGCCUUACCCUAAAAUCUAAUUAUUUGGCAAUUCGAAUUUGCAGCCAGCCAGGGCUCGGCAAUGAAUUUAACCUGCCGUAAAUUAUUUAGGAGCAUACUGUGGUGUAAAUCAAAACCACGAGUAUUUGUUUAGGAAAUAAGUUCCUUGUGCAUAAAAUGUCUUUUUCCCCCCUUUUCCGAAGGAGAAAUUGUUGAGCAAACCAUGUUCUCAUUGCAGCCCUCACUUCUCCCUCUCAACUUCUCCUCUUCCUUUGGCCAAGAAGCUCCUUGAUCCCCUGGAGAAAAGGACCUGUCUUUGCAUGAAACUUGCAUCCAAAAAUCAUGGUUUGGAUAAAAUCCAUGUUUUUGCCAUCACAUGAUGAGGUUGCUUUUUGGGUUUUAUUAAGCCUUCUAGUGCAGGGUGCCCACUUCGUGGACUUUGCGCCCAUGGGUAGAGAGAAGGGACAGAUUGGUUGUUACUGUCUCUGAAGUGGAAGAGUGCCAGUUCCUAGGUUCCUGAGGCGGGGGGAGCGUGAAUAAUGAACUGCUCAUUUUCAAACAGGACCAUAGACACAUCAGCUCAGUCUAAGAAGGCUCUGUGCUUUGGGAAACCAGUGUGUGAGCAUAGCUACACUGUUAAGCCCUCUGACCCGAACCCAGGGCGCUUCUGCUUAAAAGCCCUUUGUUGUAGUAUCUUCCACUGUGAUCUUAUCACUGCACACAUGUUAGUUUAAGGGAGUUUGAAUACACAAAAAGCAACCUAUUCCUUUGUUUUUUGUAAUCUACUGAUCUUGGGUGAAAUUUCGUUUGAAAUGCUGUUGUGGUUUUGUCCUCAGUUUAUCACGAGAAUCACUGGGGUUCCUACUUAAGCAAUUAGAAAAUAACUGUAUUUAAAACCUCUGCUUCAGCUGAAACCUACUCAUUUAGAAAGAAAGGUAAAAAAAUAUUUGGUGCUUCCUUUUUAUCUCUCUGUCUUUCCUCCCCUUGAAUUUUUUUUUUGAGUGAGCAGAUAUUAUAGGUUUGGAACCAAGGAUGCUUCAAAAAAAUCCAAGUUUUUAGACUUAGGGCCUUGAUUGUCAUCUUGAGGCCAAUUCCCAUCCACCAUCAGUAGACCAGUUUUUUGGGAUUAUGAUGCUCUACCCUUGGGCAGCCUAGUAGUGCAGGUAGCUGUGGCUGGUGUAGGGUGACCAGCUGUCCCAAUUUAAGCAAAUUCGUGGUCCCAGGCAAACAGAAUGUUGGUGGUUUGCAGCAGUUGAGGGAGAAUGAGAGACCGCUUGGAGCAAUAUUUGUCUGCUUUUGAAUCCUGGCUCUACCACCUACCCUCUUGUCACUUUAGGUAGAUCCCUUCACCUGUCUGGUCCUAAGGAGAGCUCUAUGAAAACAGAGUAUUUUCUGUUAGAGCCAUGCACUUGGCUUCUAUCUUGCCAUUUAUCAGCCUCUUGUAGUUUACUCGCCCAAAGCUGAGAGUGAGGUCUGGGUGCUAGAACAGACCUGGUGCUGGAGAUGCAGACUUGAAGGCUCAUAGUUCUCGACCUCUCGUGCCCAGAGCUCAGCACCAUCUGUGUCACUGCUUCCGCAGUGGAGGCUUUUCAGGAGCAGUCCUACAGGACUUUCUGCCGGGACGGUCUACGUUCAUUGCUCUCCUAGGAGAUGGGAGACUGAGCUCCUUGAAGACAGCCUUUCAGACUGAAAGAUUCAGAUCUUUCUCGACCCUUCAGAUUUUGAAAGCCGUUAGUCCUGCUCUCUUUAAGACUCGUUUUCCCUAUUUGGAGUCCCAGCUCUGUCCCUUCCUAGCAGCGUAACCUUGAGCAAGUGAUGACUGCCUCUUGGGCCUUGGUGUUACAGUAAAAUAGGGAUAAUGGUGAUGCCUGUCCCAGCAGUUGUUAGACGGGUUCAGUGGUCAUUCCUGUUUAUUAUUUAGCAGAGCGUCUGCCACAUAGUAAAACAGUAAAUGGAAAGAAUGAAAUGAUUCUGUUUUUUGUGCAUCUCUGAGGGUGUGGGGUCAACUCCUCUCUACCCCUUGCCCAGACUCUGAGCACCUCAGACGGAGGAGCCCCAUCUCAUUGUAUUUGCUUGUGUGUCCACAUCCAGCCCUGCCUGGUAAAUAGUAGGUGCUUAAUAGUAUUAUGACCCAGUGAUGGUUAUGCUGUGACUCAUCUUCCAGGAUUAAAAGGGUUGAGAUCAGAAGAUGUGUUUCAAAGCACACUGGAAUGAAAAUCCUUACACUGGUGUGUUCCUCCACCAAGGUAUUUACCAUAGUGCCUUGUUCAUUAUUCACUUCCAUAUGCGCUUGUUCUCAUACUUCUCCAAAGCAGACUACACCUUAUCUCUAAAUCCCACUUCAGCACCCACCCAGUGUCCUGUGCAGAGUAGGUGCUCAGGGCAAAUAUCAUAUAAAAGUAAGGAAUUGUGGGAGUUCCCAUGCCGCAGUGGGAACCAUGAGCUUGCGGGUUCGAUCCCUGGCCUUGCUCAGUGGGUUAAGGAUCCGGCAUUGUGGUGAGCUGUGGCGUAGGUCGCAGAUGAGGCUCAGAUCCGGCAUGGCUGUGGCUGUGGCAUAGGCCAGCGGCUACAGCUCCGAUUAGACCCCUAGCCUGGGAACCUCCAUAUGCUGUGGGAGUGGCCGUCAAAAGACAAAAGACAAAAAAUAAAAAA